UACGUAGGGUCCGAGCGUUGUCCGGAAUCAUUGGGCGUAAAGAGCGUGUAGGCGGCCCGAUAAGUCCGCUGUGAAAGUCCAGGGCUCAACCCUGGGAUGCCGGUGGAUACUGUCGGGCUCGAGUCCGGAAGAGGAGUGUGGAAUUCCCAGUGUAGCGGUGAAAUGCGUAGAUAUUGGGAGGAACACCAGUGGCGAAGGCGGCUCACUGGACCGGUACUGACGCUGAAGCGCGAAAGCGUGGGGAGCAAACGGG
rnacentral:rRNA from 1 species